rnacentral:misc_RNA from 1 species
CCGAGUUUACAACUCCCAAACCCACUGUGAACAUACCUUUCUGUUGCUUCGGCGGGACUGCCCCCGGCGCCCGCCGAAGGCCCUAAACUCUCUGUUUUAGACAUGGUUUUUCUGAGUGGCGCAAGCAAAAAAAUAAAUCA